rnacentral:rRNA from 1 species
AGCAGCCGCGGUAAUUCCAGCUCCAAUAGCGUAUAUUAAAGUUGCUGCAGUUAAAAAGCUCGUAGUUGAAUUUCGGGGUUAGUAGGUUGGUCAUGCCCCUGGUAUGUACUGGUCUCACUGAUUCCUCCUUCCUUAUGAACCGUAAUGCCAUUAAUUUGGUGUUGCGGGAAAUUUGGACUGUUACUUUGAAAAAAUUAGAGUGUUUAAAGCAAGCUAACGCUUGAAUACAUUAGCAUGGAAUAAUGAAAUAGGACGUUCGAUCUUAUUUUGUUGGUUUCUAGGAUUGACGUAAUGAUUAAUAGGGAUAGUUGGGGGCAUUAGUAUUCAAUUGUCAGAGGUGAAAUUCUUGGAUUAUUGAAGACUAACUACUGCGAAAGCAUUUGCCAAGGAUGUUUUCAUUAAUCAAGAACGAAAGUUAGGGGAUCGAAGACGAUCAGAUACCGUCGUAGUCUUAACCAUAAACUAUGCCGACUAGGGAUCGGAUGAUGUUAAUUUUUUAAUGACUCAUUCGGCG